rnacentral:rRNA from 1 species
GGGCCUACGGGAGGCAGCAGUGGGGAAUAUUGCACAAUGGGGGAAACCCUGAUGCAGCAACGCCGCGUGAAGGAAGACGGUUUUCGGAUUGUAAACUUCUAUCAAUAGGGAAGAAAGAAAUGACGGUACCUAAAUAAGAAGCCCCGGCUAACUACGUGCCAGCAGCCGCGGUAAUACGUAGGGGGCAAGCGUUAUCCGGAUUUACUGGGUGUAAAGGGUGCGUAGGUGGCAGGGCAAGUCAGAUGUGAAAGCCCGGGGCUCAACCCCGGUACUGCAUUUGAAACUGUCCAGCUGGAGUGCAGGAG